rnacentral:rRNA from 1 species
GACAGAGGGGGCAAGCGUUGCUCGGAAUUACUGGGCGUAAAGCGUGCGCAGGCGGGCUUUUAAGCCAGACGUGAAAUCCCCGGGCUUAACCUGGGAAUGGCGUUUGGGACUGGAAGUCUGGAGUGCGGCAGAGGAGACUGGAAUUCCUGGUGUAGCAGUGAAAUGCGUAGAUAUCAGGAGGAACACCGAUGGCGAAGGCAGGUCUCUGGGCUGACACUGACGCUCAUGCACGAAUGCGUGGGGAGCAAACAGG